rnacentral:rRNA from 1 species
AGGAUGAACGCUGGCGGCGUGCUUAACACAUGCAAGUCGAACGAUGAAGGCUGGAGCUUGCUCUGGCUGGAUUAGUGGCGAACGGGUGAGUAACACGUGAGUAACCUGCCCCAGACUCUGGGAUAAGCGCUGGAAACGGCGUCUAAUACCGGAUACGAGCUUCCACCGCAUGGUGAGGAGCUGGAAAGAUUUCGGUCUGGGAUGGACUCGCGGCCUAUCAGCUUGUUGGUGAGGUAAUGGCUCACCAAGGCGACGACGGGUAGCCGGCCUGAGAGGGUGACCGGCCACACUGGGACUGAGACACGGCCCAGACUCCUACGGGAGCAGCGAGUGGGGAAUACGUUGACGACAAGU